rnacentral:tRNA from 1 species
GCCGCGUUCGUCUAGUCCGGCCUAGGACGCCAGGUUUUCAUCCUGGAAAUCAUGGGUUCGAAUCCCAUACGCGGUACCA